UACAGAGGUCUCGAGCGUUAGGCGGAAUCACUGGGCUUAAAGCGUGUGUAGGCGGAUCGGUAAGUACCUUGUGAAAUCCCACAGCUUAACUGUGGAACUGCUUGGUAUACUGCCAGUCUUGAGCCACUUAGGGGCUACCGGAACAAAUGGUGGAGCGGUGAAAUGCGUAGAUAUCAUUUGGAACGCCAAUGGUGAAAACAGGUAGCUGGGAGUGUGCUGACGCUGAGACACGAAAGCCAAGGGAGCAAGCGGG
rnacentral:rRNA from 1 species